CAGAGAUUUUCUGUUCUGCUGUCAAAUGCUAUGUGCAUUUAUUGAAAGCAAUUGCCAGGCCAUGAUGAUGAUGACUAUGAUGAUAAAAAUGUUGUAUGGGGGGCCUGGGGAUCCAUCUCUCUCUGCUAUUAGUAUGAUGAUGAUGAUAACGUUAUUAUGGAGGUCCAGGGAACCCCCCUCUCUGUUAUUAUGAUAGUUUUGUCUAUGGAAAGUCAGGGGAUCUCUCUGGUGUUAUUAUUAUGAUGAUAAUGUUGUCUAUGGAGGGCCAGUGGGAUCCAUCACUCUUUCUGUGUACU